GGCAACAUGGCUGAGUGGUCUAAGGUGCUAGAAUCAGGAUCUAGUCUUUCGGGGCGUGAGUUCGAAUCUCACUGUUGUCA
rnacentral:tRNA from 1 species